rnacentral:rRNA from 1 species
CGAGGGUGCAAGCGUUAAUCGGAAUUACUGGGCGUAAAGCGAGUGUAGGCGGCUACGUAAGUCGGAUGUGAAAGCCCUGGGCUCAACCUGGGAAUUGCAUUCGAUACUGCGUAGCUAGAGUUUGAUAGAGGUAAGUGGAAUUCCGGGUGUAGCGGUGAAAUGCGUAGAUAUCCGGAGGAACAUCAGUGGCGAAGGCGGCUUACUGGAUCAAAACUGACGCUGAGGCUCGAAAGCGUGGGGAGCAAACAGGAUUAGAUACCCGUGUAGUC